rnacentral:rRNA from 1 species
AUUGAACGCUGGCGGCAGGCCUAACACAUGCAAGUCGAGCGGAUGAAGGGAGCUUGCUCCUGGAUUCAGCGGCGGACGGGUGAGUAAUGCCUAGGAAUCUGCCUGGUAGUGGGGGAUAACGUCCGGAAACGGGCGCUAAUACCGCAUACGUCCUGAGGGAGAAAGUGGGGGAUCUUCGGACCUCACGCUAUCAGAUGAGCCUAGGUCGGAUUAGCUAGUUGGUGGGGUAAAGGCCUACCAAGGCGACGAUCCGUAACUGGUCUGAGAGGAUGAUCAGUCACACUGGAACUGAGACACGGUCCAGACUACUACGGGAGGCAGCAGUGGGGAAUAUUGGACAAUGGGCGAAAGCAUGAUACAGCAAUGCCGCGUGUGUGAAGAAGGUCUUCGGAUUGUAAAGCACUUUAAGUUGGGAGGAAGGGAAGUAAGUGAAUACCUUGCUGUUUUGACGUUAACAACAGAAUAAGCACCGGCUAACUUCGUG